rnacentral:rRNA from 1 species
UACGGAGGAUCCAAGCGUUAUCCGGAUUUAUUGGGUUUAAAGGGUGCGUAGGCGGCUUUUUAAGUCAGGGGUGAAAGACGGUGGCGUCAACCCAUCGCAGUGCCUUUGAUACUGAAGAGCUUGAUUAAACUUGAGGUAGGCGGAAUGUGACAAGUAGCGGUAGAAAUGCAUAGAUAUGUCACAGAACACCGAUUGCGAAGGCAGCUUACUAAGGUUUCAAUGACGCUGAGGCACGAAAGCGUGGGGAUCAAACAGG